GACCGCGUAGCUCAGUUGGAAGAGCAUUGGGCUAGUAUUCCAAAGGUCGUAGGUUCGAAUCCCCCGUGGCCA